CUACGGGUGGCUCCAGUGGGGAAUAUUGCACAAUGGGGGAAACCCUGAUGCAGCAACGCCGCGUGGAGGAUGACGCAUUUCGGUGUGUAAACUCCUUUUAUAUAGGAAGAUAAUGACGGUACUAUAUGAAUAAGCACCGGCUAACUCCGUGCCAGCAGCCGCGGUAAUACGGAGGGUGCAAGCGUUACUCGGAAUCACUGGGCGUAAAGCGCGCGCAGGCGGCCCCUUAAGUUGGAUGUGAAAGCCUACGGCUUAACCGUAGAACUGCAUCCAAAACUGAGGGGCUAGAAUCUGGGAGGGGAAGAUGGAAUUAGUUGUGUAGGGGUAAAAUCCGUAGAGAUAACUAGGAAUACCAAAAGCGAAGGCGAUCUUCUGGAACAGUACUGACGCUGAGGCGCGAAAGCGUGGGGAGCAAACAGGAUUAGAUACCCUCGUAGUC
rnacentral:rRNA from 1 species